GGUCUGAUCUAAAACUGCUACUAUUCAUAUAUCUACCAUUAAUCUCUUUAAUUUUUAUCUUUGUACAAGCAGAUCUCAAUUCUCUCUGUUCCCAAGACUUUUCCUCAUCUUUUACAUCAACCUAGGGUUUCAUCUUUUUCUUCGAGUUUUAUAUCUCGAUCAUUUUCACUUUGUUUUCGUGUAAGAAAUCGAGCUUCAAAGCUCUAUCUUCGUUAUUUCCAUUAGAAAACCACAUAAAACUUUCGAUUUCUUCCCCUUGGAAAACUUAUGGUGUUGAGUUACUUGAUUGGGUUCUUGAUGGUGGUCGCAAAGAUUCUAUAAUAUGUGAUUUCUUACAAGGUAUGGUCAUUCUCCAGGUACCUCAAAGUGGCUCGGUAGUUUCCUCUAUCCACAUCAAUUGUUUGGUGAUAAUUUCUUUAUUAUUUUGCUCCCAUAUUUCUUAAUUUGAUGUUCAUAGUUAAGAUUCAAGUAGAGGUCUAUGAUCUUUAUUUUGAUUCUCAGGUGGAUCAAGGAGACUUCAUGGGCGG